UUAUAGUAUUGAAGAAAUACUUUCGCGAGAUUUCAAUUUGGGAUGAAAACACCAUUUAUGAGCCUAUGAGGUGCAACUGAAAAAUAAGGGAGAACUGGUAUGGUCUACUCAACCCAAAACGCAGCACCUGCUCAGAACAAGGAAGAGUCUCAUGUCCUAAAACAAAGGGCUAUGGAAUCAGGUCUGAGAGCAGGUACAGGCUUGCUGAAGAUUGAGAUUAGAAAAGAAAUGCUGAAGGAAAGGGAAAGCAAGAAGGAAGGAAGGAAGAGGAGAAGAAAGAAAUAGGAAGAGAGGGAAGGAAGGAGAGAGGAAGAAACUGAUGUACCAGAAAUAUUUUCUUCUUCUGAACAGGAAUGUAUAUAAUGCAGAGAUGGAACAAUUUAAAGAAGGAAGGUGUCUAUCGAGAAAAACACAUCACAAUUAUCUCUGGUUAUUGUGAUUCUCUAAAUGAUGUGAAGUAAAGCCUGGGCUUUGUACUAAUCAUUCUGUU
rnacentral:lncRNA from 1 species